rnacentral:rRNA from 1 species
GACGAACGCUGGCGGCGUGCCUAAUACAUGCAAGUAUAACGCUGAAGGAGGAGCUUGCUUCUCUGGAUGAGUUGCGAACGGGUGAGUAACGCGUAGGUAACCUGCCUGGUAGCGGGGGAUAACUAUUGGAAACGAUAGCUAAUACCGCAUAAGAGUAGAUGUUGCAUGACAUUUGCUUAAAAGGUGCAAUUGCAUCACUACCAGAUGGACCUGCGUUGUAUUAGCUAGUUGGUGAGGUAACGGCUCACCAAGGCAACGAUACAUAGCCGACCUGAGAGGGUGAUCGGCCACACUGGGACUGAGACACGGCCCAGACUCCUACGGGAGGCAGCAGUAGGGAAUCUUCGGCAAUGGACGGAAGUCUGACCGAGCAACGCCGCGUGAGUGAAGAAGGUUUUCGGAUCGUAAAGCUCUGUUGUAAGAGAAGAACGAGUGUGAGAGUGGAAAGUUCACACUGUGACGGUAUCUUACCAGAAAGGGACGGCUAACUACGUG